CAGUUUCAACUCUCGUGUUCCCCUAUCUUCCUAUUCUCUCUCUAUUUUCUCAAAUCUCUCAACUUCUCUCAUUCCUCUAUUCUACUCCUUUGUAAAACCAAACAACAACAACAAAUCCUCUUCCUCUAUUAUGCGUUCUCAACCAAAAAAUAACCUCAAUCUGGCUGCUUCUUUGACCACGAAUCAAGAUCAAGGAAAAAGAAAUCGUAAAUAUCAUCUCUCUUUCUCCCUUACAGUUGACAUCAACAAUGAAAUUGAAUCCAACUCAACCACAAAAUCGAUGAUAGUCUAA